GGCGCAAUGACUUAUGGGGCUGGCAUAGAUUUUUUUUUCCAGGGCUGCUUUGUAUCCCCAGUCCGGCCCUGGGUCUGUGUGUAUGUGUGUUUGUAUGUAUAGGUUUGUGUGCAUGUGUUUGUUUGUAUGUGUGUAUGUAUGUGUGUGUCUACAUGUAUGUGUGCCUGUAUGUGUGUGUCAUGUGUGUGUAUCUGUGUGUGUGUGUCUAUGUCUGCAUAUGUAUCUGUUUGUCUGCAUGUGUGUGGGUGCGGGGACAUGUGUGGGGCGGGGAUGUGUGGGGGAGGAGACGUAUGGCGGGGGCCCAAGGGCAAAUUUUGCACCGGAGCCCUGUGGUUUCAAGUUAUGCCUCUGCUCAGAGCACUUGCCUCGCAAUAACUUCUCCUCAAGCUGCAGUGGGAAGUAUGUGAUUAAACAGCCACAGAAAGUCUGGGCAGGGCUAGAAGGGGAGGGACUGUAAAGGCUGCAGACGAGAGAUCUGCAUCUUUUGCAAACUGUUAUUAGAUAUGCCCCAAAGAAAAACUGAAUAAUUAAAUAAAUGCACGUUUUCAUUGGAGGUAUAUCUACUAAAUGAUGGUUUUAUAUUUUAGCAGUGGAGUGUCCCUUUAAAGAUAUAUCCAUUUUACUCACAGAUUAUCUUCGGAGAGAUCGGGAAAAAGAAAGCUGGAAAAUAUGUGUUUUUUUUUCUUUUUUUUUUUAGCAGUGGCUUAAAAAACUAUAUCUAACAAAUGCGGAAUUUUGUGAUAUAAACAAGGAUUGCAUGUGGUUCCAGAAAGCCAUAAACUGUGGUACACUGGUUUUCUUAGAACAGAAUAGUAUGAUGUUGUGACGGAACGCCGUCACUGAGUACCAUGCCCACAUGUGCCUACUCGCUUGUCUGCUUAUUUUUUUCAGGUCAUCAUGCUGGGGAGGGGAUCUCCCUAUCUGUGUGGUCCCCUUGUUCCACACAUCAUGUUUAGGCUUGAUUAGAAGGUUGUGCUUGUCCCAUUCUAAAUAUGAUAUAAAUUAGGCUUGAGUAUUAAUCCGUGGGUAGGUAUUAAUGUCUCUUUUGGAUAUGAUAUAGAUACACAAGACUUGUUCAUAUCAGAGGAAUCCUUAUCUAAAAGGCAGUCAAGAAAUAUGGCAAAUGAGAUUGUUAGUUUAUCCUGAAGCCAGACUUUCAGGCCACUUAUGUGUGACUUCUCACACCUUACAGAAUAGCUCUGUUGGGAUCCCAGCUUCAAAGAUGAACUUAGGUUGUAAGCUCUGGCCUCCUAUACAAUCAAACUAACCCCUUUUGAAAUUGACAAUAUCAUCUCUACCAGGCAGCCAGUUCAUAUAUGCACUACACAGAUUACAUUAAAUGGCAAUAUUCUAUAGUGCAACAAUGAAUUAUGUACCCUUGUUGUGACACCUCCCCCAAAUUCAUUCUAUUCGGUGAUGUAACUUUCAUGGGGCUCUUAAAUAUUAAAAUGUGUUUGUGGGGUGUUUUAAACUUGUGUGUUGUUUUGCACCUGGGAGAUAAUUGAGUUGGUACAGUUCUUGACUCAAUUAUCUCCCAGGCACAGGGGUGGAGUUUGUGCGUAAUUGUACGGAGACCCCUUGCUGGGGGUCUGUGUAUAACUUGGCUGUACCAUGUCCCAUUAAAAAUCAAGUUGUACUCCCAGAACUGUUUUAAAU